rnacentral:rRNA from 1 species
UACGGAGGGUCCAAGCGUUAUCCGGAAUCAUUGGGUUUAAAGGGUGCGCAGGCGGUAGUGUAAGUCAGUGGUGAAAUCUCUCGUCUCAACCGAGAAACUGCCAUUGAUACUGCAGUACCUGAAUACAGUUGAAGUAGGCGGAAUGUGUAGUGUAGCGGUGAAAUGCUUAGAUAUUACACAGAACACCGAUAGCGAAGGCAGCUUACUAAACUGAUAUUGACGCUCAUGCACGAAAGCGUGGGGAGCGAACAGGAUUAGAACCGUACGUCGUG